rnacentral:rRNA from 1 species
GUAGGUGGCAAGCGUUGUCCGGAAUUAUUGGGCGUAAAGCGCGCGCAGGUGGUUCUUUAAGUCUGAUGUGAAAGACCCCCGGGCUCAACCCGGGGGAGGGUCAUUGGAAACUGGGGAACUUGAGUGCAGGAGAGGAAAGUGGAAUUCCACGUGUAGCGGUGAAAUGCGUAGAUAUGUGGAGGAACACCAGUGGCGAAGGCGACUUUCUGGCCUGUAACUGACACUGAGGCGCGAAAGCGUGGGGAGCAAACAGGAUUAGAUACCCUGGUAGUCCACGCCGUAAACGAUGAGUGCUAAGUGUUGGGGGGUUUCCGCCCCUCAGUGCUGCAGCUAACGCAUUAAGCACUCCGCCUGGGGAGUGCGGUCGCAAGACUG